CAACCGCAGCUUACACAUGCAAGUCGAACGGUCUCUUCGGAGAUAGUGGCGGACGGGUGAGUAACGCGUGAGAAUCUAGCUUCAGGUCGGGGACAACCACUGGAAACGGUGGCUAAUACCGGAUGUGCCGAAAGGUGAAAGAUUUAUUGCCUGAAGAUGAGCUCGCGUCUGAUUAGCUAGUUGGUGUGGUAAGAGCGCACCAAGGCGACGAUCAGUAGCUGGUCUGAGAGGAUGAUCAGCCACACUGGGACUGAGACACGGCCCAGACUCCUACGGGAGGCAGCAGUGGGGAAUUUUCCGCAAUGGGCGAAAGCCUGACGGAGCAAUACCGCGUGAGGGAGGAAGGCUCUUGGGUUGUAAACCUCUUUUCUCAGGGAAUAAAAAAAUGAAGGUACCUGAGGAAUAAGCAUCGGCUAACUCCGUGCCAGCAGCCGCGGUAAUACGGAGGAUGCAAGCGUUAUCCGGAAUGAUUGGGCGUAAAGCGUCCGCAGGUGGCACUGUAAGUCUGCUGUUAAAGAGCAAGGCUCAACCUUGUAAAGGCAGUGGAAACUACAGAGCUAGAGUACGUUCGGGGCAGAGGGAAUUCCUGGUGUAGCGGUGAAAUGCGUAGAAAUA
rnacentral:rRNA from 1 species